rnacentral:lncRNA from 1 species
UCGUGGCACAAUUAUAUGCAAAAACCCGUAAGUAUUGCUGUAAGCUUUGAAACAUAAGCAAAAAUAAUGUUUGAACCAGAUUGAACGAUAUUUGAAUAAGUAUAUGCUGAAGUUUUUUUCCUUUGUAUGCAACUUCACGUUAGACUGCUAAUGAGGCAACUUUUCUUGAAUGGAAAAUAAUCCAUUCAUCAUUUUACUUAUUUUAAAAUAACGAAAUAAAAGCAAAGAGUAGAUGCAGACGAGGAAAGUGGUGCCAUUUCGUGAAACCUAAGGAUCUUUAAUUUAUCUUCUGCUCAACUUCCCGCAUGGAUAGUUCUCCGAAUGCUGCCAUUUAGCAAAACGUUUUACCGCCCAAUCGGGGUAGUGGUUAAUGACGCUGACUUCCGUACCGAAGCGCCUGAGUUCGAGUAAAGGAGAAGGCAUGGAUCUUUGUAAAUGUACAGUGUCUGUGUGACAUGGGGGGCACUCUAAAUAUGCUGCGAGCCGAAAGUCCUUUCAAGAGGUUGGUGGUAAUGGAAGAGUGAUGGGUUACCUUCAUAUCCGUCCCCUGGAGCGCUGUCCUUCAAAAUUACUGACAGAAAUGAGCAAAGUCGUACUGUCACUUGUAUAGUGCCCAAGGUUCUUGCCAACGAUAGACGCAAACUUACCUCCUUGCUGCGAUGAAUUUCUAUUCUUGCUCUGAUAUCAGACGAGUGAGGUGAGUCACAACAACAACAAUUUUCAGGUGUGCUUAAAAAUGCCUUACGAAGGAUUUGUUAAGUUCAAGAAUUUAGGUUAUGGGAAUAUGGCGGAACAGGCAAGGGCUUUCUGCCUAAAAAGAGGGAUGCCUUCGAGGAAAGCUUUAGAAGCAGAACUGGCUCGCACGUAUUCACGUUACAGAUGGAGAACCCCAAGCCAUACAGCCACUCCGUUCUCCUGGAAUCGAAUCCAAGUUAAACUCCCAGUAUUCAGAGGUCUUACCACUCUGCCACUGGUGGGGCAGACAAGAUUACCACAGAGGCAAGUGGUGGAAACCAAGCAAAUGUAUACUGAAACGUAUUGCCCGCCUCACCAGUAAGAGUCGAAUAAAAACAACAGCUAGCUGAAAGCUUCUGUUAGCAGGUUUAUUUUUAGGUUUGGUCACCAGUUUGCAGAUAACAAAAUGUUUGAUAUUUUUUAACCAAAUUUGUACAAUCUGUUAAUGCAUGAAUAAAUUUUAAGUAAUUACUUUUUUUCAA